rnacentral:lncRNA from 1 species
UGUAGAAUAAAAUGAAAAUAGUGUGCAUCAUGGUAAAUACUGUUUUGUGAACUUUUGGUUUGAUAUAUGUGUACACAAGUAUAUUUAUAUGCUAGGUAAUAUGAAAUUCUUAAACUGUGAUCAAAAAGGCUGACACCAAGCUGUGUUGACUCAGAUCAUCUGACUCCGCCUAGAACAAGACAGCAGGAUCUGAAUCUCAGUCCUGCUCUUACGGAAUCUCUGCACACCACUAACUCGGCUUCGGCAGCUGCUCCCUACCUCGCACCCGCUCCCUACCUCGCACCCCCAGCCCUCCGCCCUCCGGUCUGCGUCUCGGGCCACCUCGCGGGCGGCUCUGCCUGUCACUCUCCUAAACGCCACGGCUGCCCCAGCGUUGGCUUCCGGCUUUCUGCUCCUCUCACCCGACGGCGCUCUCUCUGGGCGACAGCCUCCACUCCCUGCAGCCAGAGUGAUUUUUCAGCAUUAAAAAGCGGCCACGUGACGUCUCCGAUUAAAGGCUGCCGAACAGACUCUACCCUAAAUUCCGCAGCCAGGCACCGGGACCCUGGACCGCGCCCUCCCUAGGCCUCACCGCCGCCGCCCCCCGCCUCGCUCCAGGAGCGUCCACACCCGCCGCGCACGCUGCUUCCUCCGCCUGGACCGCCCGCGCCGGCGCCGACUGGCUCAGCCCGCUCCGCAUUCACGCGUGCGUCUCCCGAGGGCAGGCGGCCCCUACUACCAUGACGGCCCUGCACACGGUGUCCCAUCUGCCCAGCGAAGUCUCUCCCUCUCCCUCCGGCCAGCGGGGUCCCUCUCCUCGAGUCGCGGCUUCAGGAGACACGCGGACUACAGGUCCCAGCAUGCCUCGGGACGCGGCCUCUUCAGGCGCCCCAGUCAAGCAGUCCGUGCGCAGCCGCUUCUGAAAAGGCGGCCUCCAACGCGAGCGAAAGACGCCAGCCGAGUCAGAGCGGACAUACUCGCUCCCGUCCGCCCCGCGGUCCCCAGCCGCCUCGCCCCUGCCUACUUCGCUUCCCC